AUUAUUUUUUAGAACAAAAAAAAACAGCAUUAAUUACUGCUUUGUACAGUACUCAGUACUGUUUUGGAAGAAAAUGAGGUUAAAAUGUUUGGGACAGUAGAGAGCGCUACA